CCUACGGGGUGCAGCAGUGGGGAAUAUUGCACAAUGGGGGAAACCCUGAUGCAGCGACGCCGCGUGAGUGAAGAAGUAAUUCGUUAUGUAAAGCUCUAUCAGCAGGGAAGAAGAUGACGGUACCUGACCAAGAAGCCCCGGCUAACUACGUGCCAGCAGCCGCGGUAAUACGUAGGGGGCAAGCGUUAUCCGGAUUUACUGGGUGUAACGGGGGCGCAGACGGCAAUGCAAGCCAGGAGUGAAAGCCCGGGGCCCAACCCCGGGACUGCUCUUGUAACUGCAUGGCUGGAGUACAGGAGGGGCAGGCGGAAGUCCUAGUGUAGCGGUGAAAUGCGUAGAUAUUAGGAGGAACACCGGUGGCGAAGGCGGCCUGCUGGACUGUGACUGACGUUGAGGCCCGAAGGCGUGGGGAGCAAACAGGAUUAGAUACCCUUGUAGUC
rnacentral:rRNA from 1 species